rnacentral:rRNA from 1 species
AACGAACGCUGGCGGCAGGCCUAACACAUGCAAGUCGAGCGGACCCUUCGGGGUUAGCGGCGGACGGGUGAGUAACGCGUGGGAAUAUGCCCUUCUCUACGGAAUAGUCCUGGGAAACUGGGGGUAAUACCGUAUACGCCCUAUGGGGGAAUGAUGUAUCGGGGAAGGAUUAGCCCGCGUUGGAUUAGGUAGUUGGUGGGGUAAUGGCCUACCAAGCCGACGAUCCAUAGCUGGUUUGAGAGGAUGAUCAGCCACACUGGGACUGAGACACGGCCCAGACUCCUACGGGAGGCAGCAGUGGGGAAUCUUAGACAAUGGGGGCAACCCUGAUCUAGCCAUGCCGCGUGAGUGAUGAAGGCCUUAGGGUUGUAAAGCUCUUUCAGCUGGGAAGAUAAUGACGGUACCAGCAGAAGAAGCCCCGGCUAACUCCGUG